UAUCCAAUUUAUGCAAUUCCAGGACGUAAAGCAGGAAGUUGUUGCUAAGAUAUUAGUUUUCCUAAAUCGGUUAACGACUGAAUCUCAUGGAAUUGAUGUUGGUGGCUGUUUCGUAAUAACUCCCUCGUCAACACUUACGAUGAUGGGGAGUUUUAUUACUUACAUACUAGUGGUGAUUCAGACAAAACCAUCAUAGAAGCGCUCCACCAUCUAUGUUUUCACGUUUCAAUGGUAACUGCAGUACGAAACUCGAUUUAAUAACAUUAUUUCACCAAUAAAUGCAUUCGGAUCACGUCCCUACAGCACUUUCUCAAGCAAGAUUCUAAACAACAAAGCUUGGUGUGACAAUGUAGAGAGUUCUAACUCCUUCAACCAGUGAAACACAAAGACGAUU